ACCCAGCUUAAAACCGAAGUCAUCGUCUUUGGCUCGGUCUCUCCGACAGCCACACCUAUGGUUUGGCCCUUCUCAUCAACAAUUUCUCUUAAGGCCUCAAAUCUCAAACAGCACAGGCCAAAGCUCCAGCUCUGUCACUGUUUCACUUUCUUCCACGACAAAAUGCCCAAAGAACUAGUCUCAUUAGUUAAGAAAUGAAAUUCCAGGGUCUGGCUUUAUAAAGAAACUGCCAAAUUACAUAGAAAAGUUGGUAUGUGUCUUAUAGUCCUGACCUUCCUCCAAUGAUGGCAAAAGCUUGAAGGGCCAUUGAUAGGAUGUUGAUGGGAAACUAAAAUCUGAUGGGAGUUCUACUUUGAUGCUGAUUAUGCUCUUGAUGUAUUUCUUGUACCUGUUGAAUACAAUUCUUAUUAUUGGAGAGUCUUCUUCCAUUUAAGCAUUAUUCCUCCACUCUCUGAAUUGCUGGAUAGAGAUGAAUAUAGUAAGAAUUGAUACUUCUUUCAUUCAAAUUGUUGUUCUUUGAAUGCUUUGUAGUGAACUGUAGAAGAGAGAUUGAAGAAUAAAAGGUAGAAAAUUCUUCUUCUUAAUUAAUUUUUUGUGCAUAGACUCGUGCAUAUAUAUACAAAAAUCCUAGGACCCAAAUUUAGGACUUUCCUAACUCAAUUACAAUAAAAUCCUUUUGAUCAUGGGAUUGCCUAAUUCUCUCUUCAAAAUCACAACUUUUUUUAUUUCAUUCUUCCACACUCCCCCUCAAGUUGGUGGAUAGAUGUUUUUCAUUCCCAACUUGGAUAUGUUUGCUUGAAACUUUGUACUGCUUAAACCUUUUAUGAGUAUAUCUGCAAGUUGGUGGUCAGUAGGUAUAUAAGGGGUAUAGAUCAAUCCACUAUCUAGUUUCUCUUUGAUAAAAUGUCUAUCAAUUUCUUUGUGUUUCGUUCGAUCGUGUUGCACUGGAUUAUGUGUAAUAUUGAUUGCAGAUUUAUCGUCGUAGUAAAGUAUCUUUGGCCCAUCCCAUUUGAUCUUCAAAUUUUCCAAAAUAAUCUUCAACCAUAGUAGUUCAUAAACUUCUUAGGCCAUUGCUCGGAAUUCUGUUUCUGCACUGAACCUUGCUACCAAACUUUUUGUUUCUUGCUUCUCCAUAUCACUAGAUUCCCGCCAAGAUAGGUGCAAUAUCCUGUAGUUGAUCUUCUAUCAACCAAAUAUCCAACAUAAUCCGCAUCUGUGUAUGCUUCAAGUACUAGUCUUGAACUUUAUUUAAAUAGGAUGCCCUUUCUUGGAAACCCCUUAAGGUAUUGUAGUACUCGAUUAACAGCUUGUAGAUGGACCUUUUUUGGACUGUGCAUGAACUGGCUAAUCACACUCACAACAUAUGCUAUAUCUAGUCUUGUGUGAGAGAGAUAAAUGAGUCUUCCUACUAGAUGUUGAUUUACCAUAGUGUUUUUCUCAACCUCUCUGAGCUUAUGAUUAAGAUCUGUUGGUGUGCUUGUUGGUUUAUACGCCAACUUUCUUGUUUCUUUGAGAAAGUCUAUAACAUAUUUUUGUUGAGAAAUAAAAAUUCUUUGCUUAGAGUGUGUAAUCUCAAUUCCUAGGAAGUAUUUCAACCUUCCUAACUCUUUGAUUUCAAAUUCCUUGGUCAAACAUUGUCUCAAAGUUUGCUUCUCUAGUUCAUCAUUUCCCGUCAUGAUGAUGUUGUCUACAUAUACCAUACCCUUAGAGAUUGUUUUAGCAUGUAUAGAGAUUUCUUCAAUUUACACACCUUUUUAGUGGCUAGGUCACUGCCAAAUCUAGGAGGAAUUUCCAUGAAAAUUUCCUUUUCCAAGUCUCCAUGCAAAAAUGCAUUUUUGACAUCGAACUGUUGUAGAUCCUAGUUGUAGUUAGCUGCCAAUGAUAACAAAAUUCUUAUAGUGUUCAUCAUUUGUAAUUGGGGCAAAGGUCUAUAGAUAAUCCACACCAUAUGUCCGAGUGUAUCCCUUAGCCACCAAUCUCACCUUAUACCUCUUUAAUGAUUCAUCUGCUUCAUAUUUAAUAGUAUAAACCCAUUUUCAUCCCACUGGUUUUUUUCCUGCAAGCAAAUCUACGAACUCCUAAGUUUUAUUUUUCUCCAAGGCCUUUAUUUCUGAAUUCAUGGUUUGUUUUCAAUUUUCAUUAGAUAAAGCCUCAGAUAGAGUGGUAGGAAUAUGAAUAUUGUUCAAAUUUGUAAGAAAACUCUCAUAAGACCAAGAUAACUUUUUGAAUGACACAACAUAAGAAAGUGGAUACAAGGGAUGUUUAGUACAUUGCCUCAUUCCUUUCCUGAUGACAAUAGGAAGUUCAGACCCAAUUUGUAAGGGAAGAGGAGAAACUAUUACCUCAUUUCCAGAAGCCGGUUUAGGAUCUUGGACUUGUAUAAGUCUAGGGACUGUAGCUUUCUUACUUGAGUUUACUUUGCCAGUCAUUCGAUUCUUAGUAGACUUAGUGGGUGACGACUCAGGUUUAGGGACAGACUCAGGUUCAGGGAUAGGAUCAAUGGGUGAGGGUAUAGGUAUUGAACCGGUGUCUUUAAAGGGGGUCAAUGGGAAAGAAAUCAAUGAAAUAGGAAUCUCGAUCCUUGUCUUCCUUGAAGUUUUCCCCCUGAAGAUAAGGAAUAGGAAGAUAAAACUCUCUUUCAUUGGAGGUAACAUUUGCUAAGACAAAAUUUUUUGGAUAGAGGAUGGUAACACUUGUAUCCCUUUUGAGUUGAGAAAUAUCCCACAAAAAUACAUUUGACUACUCUGGGUCCAAUUUUCCCCUAUUUGGACUGUGAGCAUGCACGAAGGACACACAUCCAAAUAUCUUAGGAAUGAGAUGGUUUGUGGGUCUCAUAUUAGGAUAGAAGGAUGAAGGUACUUCCAUGGGACUUUUGAAAUCGAGGACUCUAGAAGGUAAUUGGUUUAUGAGAUGUGUGGCAGUGAGGACUUCUUUCUCCCAACAAGAUUCAAGCACAUGAUUUUGGAACAAAAAAGCUCGAGUUGUAUCAAGUUGGUGAUCAUUUUUCCUCUUAGCAACUCCAUUUUGUUGAGGGGUGUUGACACAAUAUGAUUCAUGAAUUAUACCCUCAUAUUGAAAGUAUGGAGUUAAGACUUGAUUGAAACAGUCUAUGGCAUUAUUGGACCGAAACUUCUUGAUAGUGACACUGAACUAAUUUUUUACCAUAUUAUGAAAAUUUGGAAGAAUAAAACUCACAUCAAAUUUGUGUUUAAGUAAGAAAAUCUAAGAGGCCCUAGUGCAAUCAUCGAUGAAAGACACGAACCAGUGCACCCCAGAUAUAUUAGGGACAAGGGAAGGGCCCCAAAUAUUACUAUGAAUUAAAUGAAAAGGUUCUGAACUUCUUUUAUUUUGAUGAGAAAUGGUGAGCGCUUGUGUUUAACAAGUUCACAUGCAUCACAAUGAAAACUCUCAAUAUCUAAUUUACUAAAUAGGGAAAGGAACAACUUAAGAGUUUGAAAUGAUGGAUGUCCAAGACUACGAUGAUGAAACCAAAAUUUUUCUUUAUUUAAAAGAUGAUGCUCUGAAAGGAAAGAUACAAAUGACUUGCUUGUUGUCUCAAGGUAGUAUAGCCCAUUUCGUUCCUUAGUAACUCCAAUCAUCUUCCCCAAGUCUUGGUCUUGAAAUGCAUAAUAAAUAGGGAAAAAUGUCAUAACACAACCCAAAUCUUGUGUAAGCUUUUGUAUACAAACAAGAUUAAUGGACAACUUUGGAACAUGGAGCACAUUUCUGUAAGUAUAGGACUAAUCUGAACAUCUCCUAUACCCACAACAGUGGUUAAGGAACCAUCUAUUAUGGCGAUUUUCCUAUUGCUUGGACAAGGGUUAUAGUUUUUAAAUUGGUGUAACGAAUGAGUCAUGUGAUCUGUGUUCGAAUCUAUAACCCAUGAUUUGACAAAGGUUUCAUCUGAGACUUUUAAUCCAAUGGAAAUAGGAAACUUACCUGAAAGCGCCAAUGAGCAGGUACCUGAAGGUUUCUCUAGAGUUCCCAACAAAGCUCUUAUUUUUUCAAUCUCUUCCUGAUUGAAUUCAUCCUAUUCCAAGGAUUUUUCAUCAUUUGGUUGAGCAACGGACAAGUUUUCUUGCCCAUUAUUCCUCUAUUAUCCUCCUUUGUAACCCUACUUUUUGCUAGAUGUCGUUGGCUUACCAUGAAGUUUCUAACAUUUUUCCUGUGUAUGUCUAGGUUUCUGACAGUGAGUGCACCAUAAGUUAUCCUUGUUAUCACGGUUUGAAGCCUUUGACCGAUCAGUCAUUUUGUUAUCAACAGUGCUAGCCUUUUGUUAGCAACCAUAGCCGAGCCUUCCAUAUUCUGAGGUUCAAGCAUGACACUUCUCUUGCUUUCUUUUGCUUGAAUAAUGGAGAUAGUCUCAUGCAAAGUUGAAAGCUCUUUGCUAAGUAUUGAACUUGAACUUGGUCAAACUUAGCAUUGAGACCAACUAAGAAAUCAUAGACUUGAUCCUUUUCAAUGCAGUUCUUUAGGAUUGCUGCAUCCUCAGGGCAUUUUGUCUCAAUACAACAAUAGUGAUUAAGUUCUUGCUAUAGGUUUUUCAACAUAUUGGCAUACUCCGUGACCGUCUUGUUUCCAUGUUUAGUUACUUUGGUCUUAGCUUUUAUUUUGUACACCUGGGCUGCAUCUAGUGCCCUUGAGUUUGUCUGAUGAACUGCAUCCCAAAUGUCUUUAGCAGUUGUCAAGAACAUACAAGUGUUCCUUUAGAAAGGUACAAACAAGUUGUGACCAUUUUAGAUAAUUCUUCUCAUUGAGUUUGUAUGUCUCUUGAAUAUUCUGCAAGUCUCUUGUGUUAUAAGUGCUAAUCACUUCUUUAGAAGGAUUGGUGAAGCUAGUAGUUUGUGAUACCUCAGACCUUUUUUUUGUGUGAAAAGUAUAAAAGUCUUUUGGUUAAAAGAACUCACCAAUUGGGAUUAGAGACCUGAGUAGCUCCAACUGAUGUCGAUGUGGAACGGCGAUGGCUACAGUGAUGGCGUUGGAGGUUCGACAUUCUCGACGAUGAUGGAGGUAUGUCAGAGAUCAGGUAUUCUUGAUUUCUGAUUAUAUCUACAGUGCAAGGAACGCUUGUAGAAGGAAAGAUCUUUGGUUGCAGCAACGGCGAUGGUGUGAUUCCUCUUGUGCGAUGAGUCUUGACGGCACCAGGGUGGGAUUAUAAGGGAAAGUGGAAGCCGACGGUGAGGAAGUGACAACGACGACAAUGCAGUGCGACAAUGAUGGUGGCGAGAAGAAGACAACUUCGGCACAUAGAGAAGACGAUAGCAGCGGUGCAUACUUACAGCAAUGGCGACAGCAACAAUGAGAACUUAUGGCAAUGGCAACAGCGAGGAAAGUGGAUGGCAGCGUGAGGCAGCAGUGCGACCUUAGUGGCGUGAUGGCAGGAAGUUCCCUUUUCCAACAACACAAUGGUCAUUUGCGAUCCACUUUUGCAACAACCGAGAGAUGGAUAUGACACCAUGGAGACAGAUGGUAGUGCGAGGACAAUGGUUGUUGCGUCAGUGCGCUGAGUUCUGUUUCCGAUUGCUUUCACGCUGAGUUCGCGAUCAGGUUUUACUGUGUCAGUGUGAAGCUAUGUUUGCAGCACAAAGAGGGACACCUUAGGGUCGACUAUGAAGAUCGGCUACGAUUUUCAACUCGGCAAUGAAGGCCAAAAAGCUUCUCUUCCCAAAUUUAUGAGCCUAGAGCUCUGAUACCAUGUAGAAGAGAGAUUGAAGAAUAAAAGCAUUUUCAGGUGCUCAAAUUUGGUAUUUGAUAGGUACGAAAAAGAGACGUAACUAACAAUUCAUAGGAUGCCAAUAAAAUUCCCACCAAAGCCUAAAUUAGCUUUGCUUUGUAAGAUUCGGAUUUGGUUAGGUAGAUUUCAACUGGGUUAAUUUAAAAAAACCUUGGCCGUAUAAUGGCUCCAUGGGGUAACAUAUGUGGAGAAAAGAUUUAGAGGGAUUUGUUGUUAAAAGGGAGUGGGCAAUAAUGCAGUGUGGUCCUCCAUUGCUUCUCAAGCUAUUAGGUGGCUGAAUGGGGAGCAAAGGUACUCAGCUCUCAAAGUAUUAAAAGAGCCAUCAUAUCUGAGCUUUCACUUUCCUAAUGUAAAGUCACUUAUAAUUUUAUUUGUUUGCUUUAACUUUUCAUUCAUCGUAGUAAUAUAGGAUGAAAAAACAAACAAAGAUUUUACAAAUGGUAUCAAAGUCAAUCAUCGACUCCAG